GGCAAGAAAAGCCAAGCCAGCUCACUCUCACUUUUGAUUUCGGAGAAGGUCCAAUUUGGGGUGUUUCCUAACCAAGGAAAAGGGCGUGUGCCACCCUACCCAGUGCGGGGAGGUUCCUUUCUACUCGAUGCCGAAUUACGGCUGUCAACCUAGGGUCAGCCCAGAGUCAAUGUGGAGUCAAUGUAGGUCAGGGUAGCACCUACCCUCUAUGUCCAGGUCAUGAGUCACAAUGUCAUUCGAGGGGAAUGACUCACUUCAGUCAGCCGAAGCUACUGUUCGUCGGACUCGACCGUAAUUCUUCCAAGUUAGAGCUUCAACUCAACUCUUGUUCUUCGUUCUUCAAGGACACGUGUCUUUGCUGAUGACGUCAGUCGUGUUCUUCGUCGUCGUCGUCGAUCAUCGGCAUACUUGUUCCUCGUCAUAAUCGUCCAAUCUUCGUAGUCGUCGUGGUUUGUCGAUCUCUUCUGUUUUCGAACUCCGCAUUUACCCGAUUGAAGGUUUGAUCAAGCAAU
rnacentral:lncRNA from 1 species